GCCACUCCCUAUUAUCUUCCUCAGAUAAGAUAGUUAUGGUUUUGAAUUCUAAGUAUAACGAUACUGGAUUACAAGAACACAUUCCUGGGGCCGGGGAUUUAGCUCAGUGAUUUCGCUGCCUGCUGCGCAAGCGCAAGGACCCAAGUUCGAUCCCCGGUAACAAAAAAAAAAAAAAAAAAAGAACACAUUCCUUACUUAUUUCACUCUUCAGCAUUACCUGUCUGCCCAGUUGGCAUCUAAGUAGAAUAUAGUGAACUCUCACUGAUUACUAGAUUCUAAUCACCACGUAACUACCAGCAUCACCAGACACCAUUUAGGCAUCCACUUUCAGUAAGAAUAAAACAAAACAAAACAACUAGUUUUCUCUCAUUACAUUCCUAGUGCUCUUGAAAUAAAACCUGCAUCAGGCUCCUAAGGCCAUCAUCCAAAGCCCAUGGACUUUCCCUUGAGAUCAAACACAUGCUGUUAGGGCUCUGAGUCUCACUUUCAGGCUCUCUGUCAUCUCCUGACUCUUCCAGGGGACAUAAAAACAAUACCCUCAUACACCAGUUCCACCAAAAAGAUUUUCUUUAUUGUUGUUAUUACUGAAGCAUUGAUAUCCUUAUAUUUUAUAUCUAUAUGUACAGAUUUUACAUGUCCUAUACUUUACACAAUAUACACAUGCAUAUGCACACACGAUUUUGACAUAUCACAGUAAAAAAUUUAGAUGUGAUACUAGUCUAUAGCUCAAUUUAAGAUAGAAAGCCAUAGCCUAAAUGUGCUGGCUUUGUUUCCCAGCAUCUCAGUUUUCUUUACAAUUUGAGAAAGUACUAUUUGAGUAUUUAUUAUUAUUAUUUGAGUAUUAUUAUUACUUGAGGCAUAAUAAUAUUAAUCUUUAAUGGCCUUUACUCUACUGAACAUGCCUAUGUACCCAUUCCCACUGAAAUUUCCCUUCUAGCCACACAUAGUCAUUACCCUGAUUUAAUGUAAAGGCAACUGAGGCCCAUAUGAAGUGACCUCCUCAAGCCAUUCAGGUGUUAGAGUGGAGUCAGAAAAAACAAAGCCUUGGCUGGUAGCCCUGGGCUCUUUCUGAGAAUCCACAAGAACUGAGUGAAUAUUUCAAACAUAUUUUCUGAAUGAAAAAACUCCCCAUAGUCUCUGGCAGUUAGUACCUAAGAAGAUAAAGCAGAGUAUUAAAAAUCCAUGUACACUCUAGUGAAAAUGUCCAGACUUUGUUGGAGUGAGAGGCUCAAAGCACCUGUCAAGGUACGCUAUAAUGAGAAAUGAUCAUGACUGGAAUGUUCUCCUUUAUCUCACCAGCUCUAUAACCCAAAUUUUAUCAAAGACUUCAGGCCUGAAGAGCUCAGACCGCAUUUUGUCAUUAAUAUUCACCACCAUACCCUUUAAGGGUAUGGGUAUGUGUUAUUAGCAUCACAUUUCAGAUGAAAAUACACCAUGAAAAGAACCAUAGCAUUUGUGCCUGGCUUAAGGAUUCAGAGACUGCUUCCUUUUAGAACCAUCUCUUAUGUCUGAUUCAGCUUUGCCCUCCUGUAGGAAACAACACAGAUAAACCAAGUGGGAUGCUCUUUUCAGCCUAAUGUCCCCAGUGUCAAAGUCUGACUAAAAUAAUAAGAUCAAAGCCCUAGGACUAUGAUGAAAAUGAAAGUCCGUGAUGGAGCAAGAUUGGCAAAGAAGCUAUUAUGUAUUGGCCUAGAUACUCAAAUGUCCUUUGAAAAAUAUUAAAAAUACAGAUGUCUAUUAUUAUAUAAUAGCAUUAAGACCUAAACCUCAGCCAUCUUUAGAAAUCCAAGCAAUGGUCACCCAAGAGCUAGGCUUUCAAUAUUUUCCCUCUUUUCUUUUUUUCUGGUACUGAGCUACAUACCCCCGCCCCUUUUUUUGAGACAGGUCUUGCUAAAUUACCCAAUUGUCCAGAACUUAUGAUCUGCUGCAUCACAUUUGAUUCUAUUGUGACCAUUUAGCAUGAUCUUGAACAUACAAGCUGUAAUUUCACAGCUUCAAACACUUUACUGUGUCUAUGAAAUCUACAUUUUUUUUAAAAAGCCGGUCACUGACACCUGACAUGAACCACACCAACACUCACUGAAAAGACUGUAAGAAGUGUCAUCCUGGGUAAGUCAGUGGUGCAUCUGAUCGAGAAUUCUGUCACUGUUAUCUGAAACACUCAUGGGAGGGCAUGAGCUCUUAAAACUAAUGUUGCACUUCUAAGAACUUUGCCUCAUCAAUACAAAAAUCACAUAAAAUCAUUCAUUGCAGUGAUAUUUGUAAUCACAGAACCUGGGAACAAACUAAAUGGUUAUUAAUAAGCAACUGGUUGAACAGACUGUGGCACAGCCAUACAAUAGACUAUCAUUCAGCUAAAAAAAAUAAGAUCUUUAUGCAACAAUAAGGAAGAUUCCAAGGAUAUAUUGGUAAGUAAAUUAAAUAAUAUAUAUACACUCGAAUGUCCAUAGGAUGCCGCUAUCAUUCAAAAGCUAUGGGAUGGAUAUUUUUCAGACAUUUUGCACAUACUUACUGUGCAUCUUCUACAUCCCAGAAACUGUUCUAGCUACUGGGGACAUGGCAGUAAAGAAGAAAAUAGACCAAACUCCUAGCCUUCCAGAAGCUUAUUCUCAUUUUCUCAUGCCAGGAUACUCGUGUCUGAGGCCCCCUGACAAUUCUGUCUGUCUCAUUUGGGAUCUCUCAUGUAUACUUAGUCAGACAGCUGCUGGAGCUGGAGCCAACUAAAAAAUUAAUUAGAAUGCUGUACUACUACAAACUGCCUCUGAUGUCACAUGAUCUGUGUGUCUGUCUUCAUAUAGCCUUCUUAUAAAGAUGUCAGCCACUGGAUUUUGAGUCCAUCUACUUCAUUCUAACCAUCUUUCACACAGACUCUCCAUCAGAGAGAGAAAAUUCAUAGCCAGUUCAAAGUUCUCAGAAGCACAAAAAUGGAAGCUACCUGGCCUUAUAAAGUUAGUGGAAUGUGUCUAGCAAUAUUUUACAUGCUGAGAUCACAGUGGAGAACAACACAGGCACAAGACCCCAUGUCAAACAACUUUCAUUGUAGUAGAGACAAUACCACUGAAUUCUUGCUUAGAACUCUUGGUUGUUGUAGUAGUGUGGAAAAAAUAAUGAACUACAUCUGACACCUGGGCUCUCUCUCUGCAGUGAGUUCCAGACAGAGUAAAAGAUAACAUAACUCAAUCAUAUCCUGAACCAGACAGUCUGAAAUCCAUCGAUAUCUAGAUGUCUCCUCCAUUCAUACAAUUACUUAUCCUUGUUCAAAGAGCUCUCUAAUUUUUAUCUUCUUUAUAAAGUUUUUUAAAAUGGCUAAUGCUUUGGGGAUGAGUAAAGAGGUGAUGAGAACUUUACAAAAGGGAAGAAAAAGUGAGUUUCCUGGACAGUUCAAAAUUGCCUCUCCCCUUCCGUCCAAAUUUUUGGACUCUAGAAUUGUGACACUUCCCUAAAUUAUUAAUACACAUCUGCUCAAAUUAUGAUUUAUAUCUCAAUUGACCCAUUUGGCAGGAAUGACAGACUGCAAAUUGUGAAAUGGAAUGAUAUCAUAUGAUUUUUUAACAUUGCUAUCUCUAGCAUACACCUGUUACAGAGAACGCCAGAUGUUAAUCAGCAGAUGUUCCUGGGGCUCACAAAGAAAAACAGGUAGCUACUCUUCUAUACAUCUUACCACUAAAAAAUAAUGAUACCCAUUAGUAUACUGUUAUGGAAGGGAUAUGAGGAUCAGCCCUAAUGAUGGCAUAUGUGAUGUUGUGCUAAGAAAGUCAGUAGAGAUGAGAAUAUAGGAGAGCACUUUUAGAUUUUAGUCACUGGUUUUUGUUCUGAGAAUAAAUGCCAACACUGUUUUGAAUAAAAGAUAUCUGUAUGCCAGUGUUUUCUUCAAACUGUAAUACAGAGACCAUGUGCAUCACAUGGGUCUGCAUUAAAAUGCAGAUUUCUAGGCCAGUCUCAAAGGAUGAAAACCAGUAGGCCUGACAAUCACUUCCCCAACACAUACUGAAAACUGUUCCCUAUUAGCAUCUCAUCCUUCCAUGUGAACCCCAUUACUCCCUGUUCUUUCUUCUAGGCAGUUUGGAUUUCAGGUCAGAUCUUCACAAAUUCCCCUCCUCCCAGGGUUCAGGAAUGAGCACAGCCAUGAGUACUAUCACCACCAACAACUGCACCGACCCCUUACUCCCAUUGCUGUCAAAACCUAAGGAUACAAAAUCCAAGGAUGAAGCAAAAGGCAAACGUGAAUAAUCAUUCCAACCAAGUUGAUCCUGACAUGGAGCAGAGGUAACUGGGAACCUCAGAAGGAGAACUACAGGGCUAUGUGGGGAAGCAGCCUGCAUGCCCAAGCACCUGGUUCUCACUGCCACACAUACAGUGCAGCCAACUUUCAAGACUCAGCAAUGGCAAAGAGCAGAUUAUAUCCUUAUGUUGUAUACAAUUGAGAAAAUUGAGGACUAUACAAGAAGAUAUUUUUGGUAUAUUUAAAACUUCGCAAUAGAAGCAUGAGAUUUUGAGCCAGAAAAAUUUCACUCUCUUAAAAUCUAGUGUGGCCUAUCACCCAAAAGAGAUGAAGUUUUUACCAUUGAAUCUGAAUAUGUCUCAAUGGCCUGCAGGGAAUACAAUUUUCUGGAAAACAGACCUGGCCUCUGCCCAUGUGGAGCUUCUAUUUCACUGGGAAAGAGAGUCAUUGAGUAAAUAAUUACAUAAACAACAGUAAUAGUAAAAACUGUACUCUUCUAACAGAGAGAUUCAUGGUGUUGUAAGGGUGUAACAGGAAAACUUGAUGUAGUCUGGAAAGGGGAACAGGAAAGGUGUCCAUACGGAAUUGACAUGUGAUCUAAGAACUGAAGAUGAAUUCAGCAGACUGGAGGGCUGAAAGCAUAUCAGACAGCAAAAAUAGCAUGUGUAAAAUUCUUGCAGUGGAAUAAAGAUGUUCAAAUAAAAGAAGGCCUGAGUAUAAAAAGCAAGGGGAAAGGAGCCCAGAUAAGCAUGGUUUCUCCAGGUAGAGGCCAGACUUCACAGAGUCUUAUGCUAAAUGCAUUGUUCUCUAAGAACAAUGAGAACAAUUAAAAGAAUGAAGGGGAGGCUUGUAGGUUCAUAGUUGCAUUUAGAAAAGAUCUCUUAGACUGCAGUGAAGAUGGAACAAUAGAGCAGAUGAAGAGGAACAAUCCAGAUGUGAGGAGACCAGUCAGGGUUCUUAAUGGUUAAUUUUAUGUCAAUUUGACUGGGCUGAGAUAAUCAAAUAGCUGGUAAAACACUACUUCUGAGUGCAUCUGUGAGGAUGUUUCUAGAAGAGAUUAACAUUUGAGUUGGUAAACUGAAUAAUGAAGAUCACCCUCACCGUGUGAGUGAGCAUUAACUGUUUCAGUCCAUUGAGCCAACAGAACAAAGGCAGAGGAAAGGUAAAUCCACUGCUUGAGCUAGAAGAUCCAUCUUUUCCUGCCCCUCAGACUCCUGGACUCCUGGUUCUCAAGCCUCCAGAGACUCACACCACUGGCACCCCUGGUCAUCAGCCCUUUGUGCUACUGGCUUUCCUGAGCCUUCAUUUUGCAGACUGCAAAAUGUGGGACCUAACCUCCAUCACUGCAUAAGCCAAUCCCUAUAAAUCCCCCCUCCCCAUUUCUAUCUGAGACAAGAGAUAUGCAGUUCAGGCUGGGCUUGAACUCACAGCAAUCCUUCUGCCUCAACUUCCAGAGGGCUAGAAUUACAGGAGUGCGCCACCACAUUCAGCCUUGUCCUGUAUCUCUAUGUAUCCUACUGGCUCUGAUUCUCUGGAAAGCCCUUACUAACACAGAAGUCCAUGGCACUAGUUUGGAUGAGAGAUAAUAUUUGGACAAGGGUAAUGGCUAUGGAGAUGCAGAGAAGAAGGCUGCUUUGAAACAUUUCUGAGGUAUCAAUGACAUAACUCAGUAAUGGAUUAGGUACAGAAUUGAAUGUGAGGGAUAAGCAUUAUGAUGCCCAGGUGUCUAACUCAUACCAUCAAAUGAAAGAUGGUUUCCUUCACGGAUGAAGGGAACAUUUAAGAGGACUGAGUUUAAAGGGGGAAAUACUUAUAUCUGGUUUUAGAUAUAUUUAGUUUGAAGUGUUUCUAAGACAUUUAAGUGGAGAUUUUUGGUAGGCAACUGAAGGUAGAUGUUAUUGAAGCUUUGGUGGUGAUUGAACUCCUAAAUGUGAAUGAGAUCACUUUAUAAACCAAUGGCAAUACGGGAUGCUGGUUCAGAGCAGGUGUCUGGAAAUAAAAAUGACUAAGUUUCCAGCCCAGGGUUAUAACUUUUUGUAACUGUACAAUGUACAACCAUGAAGAAAUUAUUCAGAUAUUCUAAAAC
rnacentral:lncRNA from 1 species